AUUGAACGCUAGCGGCAAGCCUAACACAUGCAAGUCGAACGGUAACACAAAGGAGAUUAUACUCCUUAGGUGACGAGUGGCGGACGGGUGAGUAAUAUCUGGGGAUCUGCCUAAUUAGAGGGGGAUAACUGUUGGAAACGAUGGCUAAUACCGCAUAAUAUCCUUUUAACAAAGGAUCAAAGUGGGGGACCACUUUUUUAAAAAAGUGGCCUCGCGCUAUUAGAUGACCCCAGACGAGAUUAGCUAGUAGGUAAGGUAAUGGCUUACCUAGGCUACGAUCUCUAGCUGGUCUGAGAGGAUGACCAGCCACACUGGAACUGAGACACGGUCCAGACUCCUACGGGAGGCAGCAGUGGGGAAUAUUGCACAAUGGGCGCAAGCCUGAUGCAGCUAUGCCGCGUGUAUGAAGAAGGCCUUCGGGUUGUAAAGUACUUUCAGUGGGAAAGAAUGAAUGAAGUCUAAUAUAUUUCAUUAUUGACGUUACCCACAAAAGAAGCACCGGCUAACUCCGUGCCAGCAGCCGCGGUAAUACGGAGGGUGCUAGCGUUAAUCGGAAUUACUGGGCGUAAAGCGCAUGUAGGCGGUUUGUUAAGUCGAAUGUGAAAUCCCUGGGCUUAACCUAGGAACUGCAUUUGAAACUGGCAGACUUGAGUAUCAUAGAGGGGGGUAGAAUUCCAGGUGUAGCGGUGAAAUGCGUAGAUAUCUGGAGGAAUAUCAGUGGCGAAAGCGACCCCCUGGAUGAAUACUGACGCUCAAGUGCGAAAGCGUGGGGAGCAAACAGGAUUAGAUACCCUGGUAGUCCAUGCUGUAAACGAUGUCGACUUGGAGGUUGUACCAUUAAUAGGUGUAGCUUCCGAAGCUAACGCAUUAAGUCGACCGCCUGGGGAGUACGACCGCAAGGUUAAAACUCAAAUGAAUUGACGGGGGCCCGCACAAGCGGUGGAGCAUGUGGUUUAAUUCGAUGCAACGCGAAAAACCUUACCUACUCUUGACAUCCAGUAAACUUGGCAGAAAAGCCUUGGUGCCUUUUAUAGGAAUACUGUGACAGGUGCUGCAUGGCUGUCGUCAGCUCGUGUUGUGAAAUGUUGGGUUAAGUCCCGUAACGAGCGCAACCCUUAUCCUUUGUUGCCAGCGAUUAGGUCGGGAACUCAAAGGAGACUGCCGGUGUUAAACCGGAGGAAGGCGGGGAUGACGUCAAGUCAUCAUGGCCCUUACGAGUAGGGCUACACACGUGCUACAAUGGCGUACACAAAGAGAAGCAAGCUCGCAAGAGUAAGCAGAACUCACAAAAUACGUCGUAGUUCGGAUUGGAGUCUGCAACUCGACUCCAUGAAGUCGGAAUCGCUAGUAAUCGUGGAUCAGAAUGCCACGGUGAAUACGUUCCCGGGCCUUGUACACACCGCCCGUCACACCAUAGGAGUGGGUUGCAAAAGAAGUAAAGUAGCUUAACCCUUUAAAAGGAGGGCGCUUACCACUUUGUGAUUCAUGACUGGGGUG
rnacentral:rRNA from 1 species